CCAUAAUAAGUAAUGCAAUUUCCUUCUAUUGUUUGAUCAAGUUAAGGCCCUAGGCUAGCUUAGCUUCUUUUUUCUUUUUCGGUUCAAAUCUUUCUAUUGCCAUCUAAGCAUUUACCUCUUCCAAUUCUGUAAGUAACUAGCUAGAUUAUUAGCGUCAUUAGCAAAAAAAAAAACAAAUUAUUAGCGUCUAAGAUUCAUCGGAUUAAACUUUUUUUUGAGGUUGUUUCACUGCAUUAGAAAUUGAAAUCCAUUAAGCAUACGAUUAAUAGGCUCCGUUUGUCCAUAAAAAAAUUCUUUUUUUAAAUUUUUUUUUUUAAAAAUGUGUCCAUGAAAUUUUGUAAAAUUUAAAAAAAAAAUCGAAAAUAAUUUUUUCAAAAUUAAUUGACUACUUUUUAGGCAAAUUUUUCUUCUCUUUGCUCACAAAAUUAUAAUAUUUUUUUCAAGUAAAAUGCAUAUCUAAAUAUAAUAUAGAGUACAACCCGACCAAAAUUACCAAAAGACUCUACACAAUUCAAAAUCCAAAUUAGCUACAAAUUUAAAGAUAGUAACCAACUCUCUCCCAAAUCCAAAUUCCACAAACCCCUCAAAUCUCAAUUACAAGGAAAAGAAAUAAAUAAAUAUUUUUCAACAUAAUAUUCCAAAAAGAUGAAUUACAAAAGAAUCUGAGUUGAGCUUUCAGCUCCUCAUGUGCCUGACCUUGUGCCAACCUUUCUUGCAAGAUUCUCCAACAAUCUUCACUCCUUUCUUGAAAAGGGUCUUCAAUUCUUUUGCUCUCUCCUUCACUUGCUUCUCAAACCCACCCAUUUUCUUCUUUCUGUCAAAAAUUUGCAGAGAAAAAGAGAGAACAGAAUUUCUAGAAUGUAAUUAACCUUCUAUUGGUCUCAAGCAGAAUGGG
rnacentral:lncRNA from 1 species